rnacentral:rRNA from 1 species
GACGAACGCUGGCGGCGUGCUUAACACAUGCAAGUCGAACGGAAAGGCCCUGCUUUUGUGGGGUGCUCGAGUGACGAACGGGUGAGUAACACGUGAGUAACCUGCCCUUGACUUUGGGAUAACUUCAGGAAACUGGGGCUAAUACCGGAUAGGAGCUCCUGCUGCAUGGUGGGGGUUGGAAAGUUUCGGCGGUUGGGGAUGGACUCGCGGCUUAUCAGCUUGUUGGUGGGGUAGUGGCUUACCAAGGCUUUGACGGGUAGCCGGCCUGAGAGGGUGACCGGCCACAUUGGGACUGAGAUACGGCCCAGACUCCUACGGGAGGCAGCAGUGGGGAAUAUUGCACAAUGGGCGGAAGCCUGAUGCAGCAACGCCGCGUGCGGGAUGACGGCCUUCGGGUUGUAAACCGCUUUCGCCUGUGACGAAGCGUGAGUGACGGUAAUGGGUAAAGAAGCACCGGCUAACUACGUGCCAGCAGCCGCGGUGAUACGUAGGGUGCGAGCGUUGUCCGGAUUUAUUGGGCGUAAAGGGCUCGUAGGUGGUUGAUCGCGUCGGAAGUGUAAUCUUGGGGCUUAACCCUGAGCGUGCUUUCGAUACGGGUUGACUUGAGGAAGGUAGGGGAGAAUGGAAUUCCUGGUGGAGCGGUGGAAUGCGCAGAUAUCAGGAGGAACACCAGUGGCGAAGGCGGUUCUCUGGGCCUUUCCUGACGCUGAGGAGCGAAAGCGUGGGGAGCGAACAGGCUUAGAUACCCUGGUAGUCCACGCUGUAAACGGUGGGUACUAGGUGUGGGGUCCAUUCCACGGGUUCCGUGCCGUAGCUAACGCUUUAAGUACCCCGCCUGGGGAGUACGGCCGCAAGGCUAAAACUCAAAGGAAUUGACGGGGCCCCGCACAAGCGGCGGAGCAUGCGGAUUAAUUCGAUGCAACGCGUAGAACCUUACCUGGGUUUGACAUGGAUCGGGAGUGCUCAGAGAUGGGUGUGCCUCUUUUGGGGUCGGUUCACAGGUGGUGCAUGGCUGUCGUCAGCUCGUGUCGUGAGAUGUUGGGUUAAGUCCCGCAACGAGCGCAACCCUUGUUCACUGUUGCCAGCACGUUAUGGUGGGGACUCAGUGGAGACCGCCGGGGUCAACUCGGAGGAAGGUGGGGAUGACGUCAAGUCAUCAUGCCCCUUAUGUCCAGGGCUUCACGCAUGCUACAAUGGCUGGUACAGAGAGUGGCGAGCCUGUGAGGGUGAGCGAAUCCCGGAAAGCCGGUCUCAGUUCGGAUUGGGGUCUGCAACUCGACCUCAUGAAGUCGGAGUCGCUAGUAAUCGCAGAUCAGCAACGCUGCGGUGAAUACGUUCCCGGG